CCUACGGGUGGCUGCAGUGGGGAAUAUUGGACAAUGGGCGAAAGCCUGAUCCAGCCAUGCCGCGUGUGUGAAGAAGGCCUUCGGGUUGUAAAGCACUUUCAGUGGGGAAGAAAGCCUUGGGGCUAAUACCCUCGAGGAAGGACAUCACCCACAGAAGAAGCACUGGCUAACUCCGUGCCAGCAGCCGCGGUAAUACGGAGGGUGCGAGCGUUAAUCGGAAUUACUGGGCGUAAAGCGCGCGUAGGCGGUCUGAUAAGCCGGUUGUGAAAGCCCCGGGCUCAACCUGGGAACGGCAUCCGGAACUGUCAGGCUAGAGUGCAGGAGAGGAAGGUAGAAUUCCCGGUGUAGCGGUGAAAUGCGUAGAGAUCGGGAGGAAUACCAGUGGCGAAGGCGGCCUUCUGGACUGACACUGACGCUGAGGUGCGAAAGCGUGGGUAGCAAACAGGAUUAGAUACCCCUGUAGUC
rnacentral:rRNA from 1 species